GGUGAAAUUCGUAGAUAUUAGAAAGAAUACCGAUUGCGAAGGCAGCUUUCUGGAUCAUUACUGACACUGAGGAACGAAAGCAUGGGUAGCGAAGAGGAUUAGAUACCCUCGUAGUCCAUGCUGUAAACGAUGUGUGUUAGACGUUGGAAAUUUAUUUUUAGUGUCGCAGCGAAAGCGAUAAACACACCGCCUGGGGAGUACGACCGCAAGGUUAAAACUCAAAUGAAUUGACGGGGACCCGCACAAGUAGUGGAGCAUGUGGUUUAAUUCGAAGAUACGCGCAGAACCUUACCAACACUUGACAUGUUCGUCGCGACCUUAAGAGAUUAAGGUUUUCGGUUCGGCCGGACGAAACACAGGUGCUGCAUGGCUGUCGUCAGCUCGUGUCGUGAGAUGUUGGGUUAAGUCCCGCAACGAGCGCAACCCUCACUUUUAGUUGCCAUCAUUUAGUUGGGCACUCUGAAAGAACUGCCAGUGAUAAGCUGGAGGAAGGUGGGGAUGACGUCAAGUCCUCAUGGCCCUUACGUGUUGGGCUACACACGUGCUACAAUGGCAUCUACAAUAGGAAGCAAAAUGGCGACAUUGAGCAAAUCCUAAAAAGAUGCCUCAGUUCGGAUUGCACUCUGCAACUCGAGUGCAUGAAGCUGGAAUUACUAGUAAUCGCGGAUCAGCGCGCCGCGGUGAAUACGUUCCCG
rnacentral:rRNA from 1 species